AUUGAACGCUGGCGGCAGGCCUAACACAUGCAAGUCGAGCGAGCGGCGGACGGGUGAGUAUGGCCUAGGAAUCGGCAUGGUCGUGGGGGAUAACGUCAGGUACCGGACGCUAAGACCGCUUACUAUCCGCUUUGCCCAGAGGGGAUUAGCUAUUAGGUGGGGGAACGGCUAACCAAGGCCACGAUCCCUAGCUGGUCUGAGAGGAGGACCAGCCACACUGGAACUGAGACACGGUCCAGACUCCUACGGGAGGCAGCAGUGGGGAAUAUUGCACAAGGGGCGCAAGCCUGAUGCAGCCAUGCCGCGUGUGUGAAGAAGGCCUUCGGGUUGUAAAGCACUUUCAGCGGGGAGGCGUUACCCGCAGAAGAAGCACCGGCUAACUCCGUGCCAGCAGCCGCGGUAAUUC
rnacentral:rRNA from 1 species